CUGGCCCUAAACGAUGUUCACUAGGUGUGGGGAGCGGAAAGCUCUCCGUGCUAAAGCUAACGCGAUAAGUGAACCGCCUGGGGAGUACGCCCGCAAGGGUGAAACUCAAAGGAAUUGACG
rnacentral:rRNA from 1 species